rnacentral:tRNA from 1 species
GCAUUGGUGGUUCAAUGAUAGAAUUCUAGCCUUCCAUGCUGGAGACCAGGGUUCUAUUCCUGGCCAACGCA